UACUGAUCUUAGCGGCGGACGGGUGAGUAAUGCUUAGGAAUCUGCCUAUUAGUGGGGGACAACAUUUCGAAAGGAAUGCUAAUACCGCAUACGUCCUACGGGAGAAAGCAGGGGAUCUUCGGACCUUGCGCUAAUAGAUGAGCCUAAGUCGGAUUAGCUAGUUGGUGGGGUAAAGGCCUACCAAGGCGACGAUCUGUAGCGGGUCUGAGAGGAUGAUCCGCCACACUGGGACUGAGACACGGCCCAGACUCCUACGGGAGGCAGCAGUGGGGAAUAUUGGACAAUGGGCGCAAGCCUGAUCCAGCCAUGCCGCGUGUGUGAAGAAGGCCUUAUGGUUGUAAAGCACUUUAAGCGAGGAGGAGGCUACUUUAGUUAAUACCUAGAGAUAGUGGACGUUACUCGCAGAAUAAGCACCGGCUAACUCUGUGCCAGCAGCCGCGGUAAUACAGAGGGUGCAAGCGUUAAUCGGAUUUACUGGGCGUAAAGCGCGCGUAGGCGGCUAAUUAAGUCAAAUGUGAAAUCCCCGAGCUUAACUUGGGAAUUGCAUUCGAUACUGGUUAGCUAGAGUGUGGGAGAGGAUGGUAGAAUUCCAGGUGUAGCGGUGAAAUGCGUAGAGAUCUGGAGGAAUACCGAUGGCGAAGGCAGCCAUCUGGCCUAACACUGACGCUGAGGUGCGAAAGCAUGGGGAGCAAACAGGAUUAGAUACCCUGGUAGUCCAUGCCGUAAACGAUGUCUACUAGCCGUUGGGGCCUUUGAGGCUUUAGUGGCGCAGCUAACGCGAUAAGUAGACCGCCUGGGGAGUACGGUCGCAAGACUAAAACUCAAAUGAAUUGACGGGGGCCCGCACAAGCGGUGGAGCAUGUGGUUUAAUUCGAUGCAACGCGAAGAACCUUACCUGGCCUUGACAUAGUAAGACUUUCCAGAGAUGGAUUGGUGCCUUCGGGACUUACAUACAGGUGCUGCAUGGCUGUCGUCAGCUCAGGUCCUGAGAUGUUGGGUUAAGUCCCGCAACGAACGCACUCUUUUCCUAUUUGCCAGCGAGGAAUGUCG
rnacentral:rRNA from 1 species